rnacentral:rRNA from 1 species
UACAUGCAAGUCGAGCGGACCGACGGGAGCUUGCUCCCUUAGGUCAGCGGCGGACGGGUGAGUAACACGUGGGUAACCUGCCUGUAAGACUGGGAUAACUCCGGGAAACCGGGGCUAAUACCGGAUGCUUGAUUGAACCGCAUGGUUCAAUCAUAAAAGGUGGCUUUUAGCUACCACUUACAGAUGGACCCGCGGCGCAUUAGCUAGUUGGUGAGGUAACGGCUCACCAAGGCGACGAUGCGUAGCCGACCUGAGAGGGUGAUCGGCCACACUGGGACUGAGACACGGCCCAGACUCCUACGGGAGGCAGCAGUAGGGAAUCUUCCGCAAUGGACGAAAGUCUGACGGAGCAACGCCGCGUGAGUGAUGAAGGUUUUCGGAUCGUAAAACUCUGUUGUUAGGGAAGAACAAGUACCGUUCGAAUAGGGCGGCACCUUGACGGUACCUAACCAGAAAGCCACGGCUAACUACGUGCCAGCAGCCGCGGUAAUACGUAGGUGGCAAGCGUUGUCCGGAAUUAUUGGGCGUAAAGCGCGCGCAGGCGGUUUCUUAAGUCUGAUGUGAAAGCCCCCGGCUCAACCGGGGAGGGUCAUUGGAAACUGGGGAACUUGAGUGCAGAAGAGGAGAGUGGAAUUCCACGUGUAGCGGUGAAAUGCGUAGAGAUGUGGAGGAACACCAGUGGCGAAGGCGACUCUCUGGUCUGUAACUGACGCUGAGGCGCGAAAGCGUGGGGAGCGAACAGGAUUAGAUACCCUGGUAGUCCACGCCGUAAACGAUGAGUGCUAAGUGUUAGAGGGUUUCCGCCCUUUAGUGCUGCAGCAAACGCAUUAAGCACUCCGCCUGGGGAGUACGGUCGCAAGACUGAAACUCAAAGGAAUUGACGGGGGCCCGCACAAGCGGUGGAGCAUGUGGUUUAAUUCGAAGCAACGCGAAGAACCUUACC